rnacentral:rRNA from 1 species
CACGUAGGGCGCAAGCGUUGUCCGGAAUUAUUGGGCGUAAAGCGCUUGUAGGCGGCACGCAAGUCGCGUGUGAAAUCCCCAGGCUUAACCUGGGAAGUGCGCGCGAAACUGACGAGCUUGAGUGCCGGAGAGGGUCGCGGAAUUCCCGGUGUAGAGGUGAAAUUCGUAGAUAUCGGGAGGAACACCAGUGGCGAAGGGCGGCGACC